GGAGUUCAAGUUCUGAGAUUUUUGUUGGGGUUUGAGAGAUUAGAAGAGGAAAGUGCAAUAAGAAAAGCAAAGAGGUUCAGAUUUGGAGUGGUGGGUUAGGAAGAAUUGAGAAAUAUUGAUGAAAAUGAAGGUGGGUUAAUGAAAGGAGAAGGCUUGAGGUUUUCUUGAAGAUAUUGUAGUGUUUUUGUUGCGUUGGAAAGUGAAAGGAGAACAGUUUCCUACAUAAUGCUAGGUGCUAUGCUCGUCUACCAAUUAAGGCUGAUAAGUGCAGGAAGAAGUAGUGUGGUCGUAGCAACCAGCUGAGGAAGAAGGAGCCACUCAGGUGCCAUAACUGAUGACUUCUAAUGAAGAGUGAAGCUUGGAUGUUGUCACCUUACUAUCUUAACCACUGUUAAAUAAGCUCUAGGACAGCUUGUUAUCGUCGGAACCUUGUUUAUCAUGAUGUUUUGUCUUAGACAUCUGGUUUAGCUCAUGUUAAAUGCUACUUAAUUACGCUAAUUACUUAAGACAUCUGGUUUUCCUUAUUACAAGACAACUAAAACACAAGGCAAAAACAGUGUAGCUUCCUUGUCAAUUUUGUGGUGACUUAAUAAGUAAUGUUGUCUUAAUUAAUUACA